rnacentral:sRNA from 1 species
CCCUAGCCUCGAUUAAAGUGGAAAUCCUUUGUAGGCCUGAUUUUUAUGGCCUGUAAAGAUUGUAACGGAAAGCGGGACACGAG